rnacentral:tRNA from 1 species
UGCGGGUGUGCCAGAGUGGUCAAAUGGGUAGGACUUAAGAUCCUAUGGCUUAGUGCCUUCGAAGGUUCGAAUCCUUUCACCCGCAUC